AUGACAAGGACCUCUGUCACCAUGACAACAGGCUCUAAUGGCGACAGAAUUGGGGGAGGCCCCUCCUCCUGAAGUACAUAACCCCUGUCUUUGAUCUGGCCUGCACACGCUCUCCGUCUCUCUGCUGCACUGAGACUGCUGUGGGGAGCAUGUCCACUGACUGUGUGAGGUCACUCUCAGACAAAGCCGAACACACACUCACCAUGCAUGAACAUCUCUAUGGGAACACUGAAAUGGACAAUCAGAAGCACAGCUCCGAGGAACAUCAGCAGGAUAAUCUGGGACAGAAGAAACCCCGCAGGAAAGACACUCCCGUACUCAACAUCCCUCCACUCAUA